CAGACCUUGAAUGGUCUCCAGAAGACACAAAAAUUGAUUCUUCAGUACUCUUGAGCAUGCGGGGAUGUGCUGGCACUCCUUCAGGGGACACCAUGGGUGCGGAGCUGCAUGGCAGAACAAAGCAAUCCUCGCCACGGAGGAGCACAGCCGCACGGAGCAGCGCGUGCCUGCUUGCGAUGGGCUUUGCUGCAAAGGAGUCAGAAAAUCCAAGAUGAAAAGGCCCAUUUGCAUUUCUAUUUGUGCCGUUUGAUGUUGGCUACCGAGUACAACUGGAACAAGCAGCACUUUAAAUAAUCUAGAAAACACUAUCUAGCAUCCUGAGCGCUUGUGGAGUUGGCCUUUUUUUUUUUUUUUUUUUUUUCUGUUUUUUUAAAGGCAGCUCUCAGCUUGGUAGAGAAACCGUGAUGGCAGCAUCACUAAGAGCUCAGGUGAGCAAAGCAGUGCUAACUGCCCGGAGAACAUGAGCCCAGCAGGUAAUCCGUCCGUCUGUCUGUCCUCCUGGCUCCGUGCUUCUCCUCUCCCAAGGAAACCCAACCCACACAGCUGAAAUCAGAGCAGCCAAGCAGCUAGAGCGAGCUGAAAGCCCGGGGAGGAAAUGUGGUUAUUGUGAAAAACAUUAACUAAAGAUGAUCAUGAGCACUUUGCUGAGUCCCACCUGAUUCACCCCUGCCCAGGGCUUCCUCUGAGCCUGUGCUCAGCAGCACGAUUUGCACCCAGCUGGGAAACACAAGCACCCUGUGAUGGAAGGGGUGACUUAAUCACUUUUGCAUAGCUUUUUUUCUUUUUUCUUUUUUUUUUUUUCUCUCUCCUGAGUUAAUUAAAAGUAGAAGUGCUCAUAUGCUCAUAUCAAGCACAGUGCCUCUGUGAGCACCACAUGCUCUUCAGCAACAUGUGGACAAGCAGGACUUAGUGCAUUGGCCCAAUUUAGUGCAGAGUUACCAGCAACACCCAUUUUUCCACCAAAACUGCAAGAUUCUGAAAUGCUUUUAGUAACUCCAGGCCAUUUUAGUGCCUUCCCAAGGCCUCCACCAAAAAGCCAAAUGGAGAAAAAGCUCCGUCCCCAUCUCACUGUCCUUGGAAGCUCAGAGCCCCUCUUGGUGCUGCAGAGCACGGGAGACUUUAAAGCAGUGCUGGCUCUGGGGAAGCUGUCUGGAAUUGGACCCGUUGAAUAGGAAACCCCCAUAGUUCAGCCCUGAAAAUAUCCACCUUACAUGUACCAGCAUAAAAGCUAGCUUUUAAACUUCAUUACCCUUUUCUUUGCUAGGUUUUGUGCUGCCUGCUGACAUUCUCAUCCUGGUACCAGUUUGGUUUUUAA